AAGGCCUCUGGGCUGUAAACCUCUUUUAUCAAGGAAGAAGAUCUGACGGUACUUGAUGAAUAAGCCACGGCUAAUUCCGUGCCAGCAGCCGCGGUAAUACGGGAGUGGCAAGCGUUAUCCGGAAUUAUUGGGCGUAAAGCGUCCGCAGGCGGCCCUUCAAGUCUGCUGUUAAAAAGUGGAGCUUAACUCCAUCAUGGCAGUGGAAACUGUUGGGCUUGAGUGUGGUAGGGGCAGAGGGAAUUCCCGGUGUAGCGGUGAAAUGCGUAGAUAUCGGGAAGAACACCAGUGGCGAAGGCGCUCUGCUGGGCCAUCACUGACGCUCAUGGACGAAAGCCAGGGGAGCGAAAGGGAUUAGAUACCCCUGUAGUCCUGGCCGUAAACGAUGAACACUAGGUGUCGGGGGAAUCGACCCCCUCGGUGUCGUAGCCAACGCGUUAAGUGUUCCGCCUGGGGAGUACGCACGCAAGUGUGAAACUCAAAGGAAUUGACGGGGGCCCGCACAAGCGGUGGAGUAUGUGGUUUAAUUCGAUGCAACGCGAAGAACCUUACCAGGGUUUGACAUCCUGCGAAUCUCUUGGAAACUAGAGAGUGCCUUCGGGAGCGCAGUGACAGGUGGUGCAUGGCUGUCGUCAGCUCGUGUCGUGAGAUGUUGGGUUAAGUCCCGCAACGAGCGCAACCCACGUCUUUAGUUGCCAGCAUUUAGUUGGGCACUCUAGAGAGACCGCCGGUGAUAAACCGGAGGAAGGUGUGGAUGACGUCAAGUCAUCAUGCCCCUUACAUCCUGGGCUACACACGUACUACAAUGCUACGGACAAAGGGCAGCAAGUUCGCGAGGACAAGCAAAUCCCAUAAACCGUGGCUCAGUUCAGAUCGUAGGCUGCACACUCGCCUACGUGAAGGAGGAAUCGCUAGUAAUCGCAGGUAAGCAUACUGCGGUGAAUACGUUCCCGGG
rnacentral:rRNA from 1 species